GCUAUCACGAACAGUCUGAUGUGACUAGAUUCUAUUUCUGUGCGUUCAAGCUCAUUUUGACGAGUUUCGCUACCUCGGGGUGUUCAAAUUUUGUAUGGAAAAGACGACAAAUGCGCUCGUCAGCGUAACAGUUUUGCCAACUUACUAGAAGAAGAAGGCUCGUAAUGGCGUCCAUUCUAUCUUCGCGCAACGGUCGAGUGCGCCGGAAGUUCUCAGCAAGUUGCAAGAGACAAAUGGAGCUAGUCAUGUUGUACCGUCGCUUCUGACCAGGAGGAAAGGAAUACCGGAAGUGCAUGGUUACUCCAGAAUGCACGUCGAUUUGAAGGUGAAGCUAGGAGUUUUGAAUAUUGUCACUUUGCAGACGUAGCAAUUGAUAAUGAAAUGGAAUUAUAAAGGAAAGAGUUAAUAGAAACA